GGGAAUUUUCCGCAAUGGGCGAAAGCCUGACGGAGCAAUGCCGCGUGGAGGUGGAAGGCCUACGGGUCGUCAACUUCUUUUCUCGGAGAAGAAACAAUGACGGUAUCUGAGGAAUAAGCAUCGGCUAACUCUGUGCUAG
rnacentral:rRNA from 1 species